UACAGAGGGGGCGAGCGUUGUUCGGAAUUACUGGGCGUAAAGGGCGCGUAGGCGGCCUGCUAAGUCAUACGUGAAAUCCCUCGGCUCAACCGGGGAACUGCGUGUGAUACUGGCGGGCUUGAAUCCGGGAGAGGAAUGCGGAAUUCCAGGUGUAGCGGUGAAAUGCGUAGAUAUCUGGAGGAACACCGGUGGCGAAGGCGGCAUUCUGGACCGGCAUUGACGCUGAGGCGCGGAAAGCCAGGGGAGCAAAGCGGGG
rnacentral:rRNA from 1 species